rnacentral:misc_RNA from 1 species
GACAGGACAGGGCGGGGUGCGUAGGGGUCAGGAGCUUUUUGGGUCAUUUGCUUGAUAUCCAACACAUAUGUGAUGAUUUGCUGCUGAGCUUUUGGAACGAUGUUCAUGCACCUUGGGGUUUAUUUAUCUAGGAAGUUAUUAUGGGUCAAUUGCUAGAAGAAAUUUGAAGUUGGAUUAAACUUCUCAUAGUUUAUGAUAUUUUGAGUGACCCAAAAGUAGGGCUGUGUGGACUAAUUUUCUUCUUAAUCUUCAUCAUUUUUUCCUUUAUUGUUACUUUCUGAUACCUG